CAGCCGCCGGGGAAUACGGAGGGGGCUAGCGUUGUUUGGAAUUACUGGGCGUAAAGCGCACGUAGGCGGCUUGGUAAGUUAGAGGUGAAAGCCUGGAGCUCAACUCCAGAAUUGCCUUUAAGACUGCCGAGCUAGCAGGUGAGAGAGGUAAGUGGAAUUCCGAGUGUAGAGGUGAAAUUCGUAGAUAUUCGGAAGAACACCAGUGGCGAAGGCGGCUCACUGGCUCAUACUGGACGCUGAGGUGCGAAAGCGUGGGGAGCAAACAGGAUUAGAUACCCGAGUAGUCCCUGUCUCUUAUACA
rnacentral:rRNA from 1 species